rnacentral:rRNA from 1 species
UACGUAGGGCGCAAGCGUUAUCCGGAAUUAUUGGGCGUAAAGAGCUCGUAGGCGGUUUGUCGCGUCUGCCGUGAAAGUCCGGGGCUCAACUCCGGAUCUGCGGUGGGUACGGGCAGACUAGAGUGAUGUAGGGGAGACUGGAAUUCCUGGUGUAGCGGUGAAAUGCGCAGAUAUCAGGAGGAACACCGAUGGCGAAGGCAGGUCUCUGGGCAUUAACUGACGCUGAGGCGCGAAAGCAUGGGGAGCGAACGGG